rnacentral:rRNA from 1 species
UGGGGAAUAUUGGACAAUGGGCGAAAGCCUGAUCCAGCAAUACCGCGUGAGUGAUGAAGGCCUUAGGGUUGUAAAACUCUUUCAGUAGGGAAGAUAAUGACGGUACCUACAGAAGAAGCACCGGCUAACUCCGUGCCAGCAGCCGCGGUAAUACGGAGGGUGCAAGCGUUGUUCGGAAUUACUGGGCGUAAAGAGUGCGUAGGCGGUUUAGCAAGUUGGAAGUGAAAUCCCGGGGCUCAACCUCGGAAUUGCUUUCAAAACUGCUAAUCUAGAGUAUGGUAGGGGAUAGUGGAAUUCCUAGUGUAGGAGUGAAAUCCGUAGAUAUUAGGAGGAACACCAGAGGCGAAGGCGACUGUCUGGGCCAUUACUGACGCUAAGGUACGAAAGCGUGGGGAGCAAA